GACGAACGCUGGCGGCGUGCUUAACACAUGCAAGUCGAACGGAAAGGCCCUGCUUUUGUGGGGUGCUCGAGUGGCGAACGGGUGAGUAACACGUGAGUAACCUGCCCUUGACUUUGGGAUAACUUCAGGAAACUGGGGCUAAUACCGGAUAGGAGCUCCUGCUGCAUGGUGGGGGUUGGAAAGUUUCGGCGGUUAGGGAUGGACUCGCGGCUUAUCAGCUUGUUGGUGGGGUAGUGGCUUACCAAGGCUUUGACGGGUAGCCGGCCUGAGAGGGUGACCGGCCACAUUGGGACUGAGAUACGGCCCAGACUCCUACGGGAGGCAGCAGUGGGGAAUAUUGCACAAUGGGCGGAAGCCUGAUGCAGCAACGCCGCGUGCGGGAUGACGGCCUUCGGGUUGUAAACCGCUUUCGCCUGCGACGAAGCGUGAGUGACGGUAAUGGGUAAAGAAGCACCGGCUAACUACGUG
rnacentral:rRNA from 1 species